GACAGCCUCUGUUCCCACCUUGUAGUCUGAACUCAUCAGAUCUCAGAAGCUUAGCAAGCAUGGGCCUGUUCAGUAGUGGGAUGGAAGAACUCCAAGGAAAACCAGGUUGGUACUAUGU
rnacentral:rRNA from 1 species